CUGGUUGAUCCUGCCAGUAGUCAUAUGCUUGUCUCAAAGAUUAAGCCAUGCAUGUCUAAGUAUAAGCAAUCUAUACAGUGAAACUGCGAAUGGCUCAUUAAAUCAGUUAUCGUUUAUUUGAUAGUACCUUACUACUUGGAUAACCGUGGUAAUUCUAGAGCUAAUACAUGCUAAAAAUCCCGACCUCUGGAAGGGAUGUAUUUAUUAGAUAAAAAACCAAUGCCUUCGGGCUCCUUGGUGAUUCAUGAUAACUUUACGAAUCGCAUGGCCUUGUGCCGGCGAUGGUUCAUUCAAAUUUCUGCCCUAUCAACUUUCGAUGGAAGGAUAGUGGCCUACCAUGGUUUCAACGGGUAACGGGGAAUUAGGGUUCUAUUCCGGAGAGGGAGCCUGAGAAACGGCUACCACAUCCAAGGAAGGCAGCAGGCGCGCAAAUUACCCAAUCCCGACACGGGGAGGUAGUGACAAUAAAUACUGAUACAGGGCCCUUUCGGGUCUUGUAAUCGGAAUGAGUACAAUUUAAAUCCCUUAACGAGGAACAAAUUGGAGGGCAAGUCUGGUA
rnacentral:rRNA from 1 species